rnacentral:lncRNA from 1 species
AUGUGCGGCUCGUCGCGGCGUCCCAUUCAACCGCCGGGGCUCGCCCCACCCCCUCCGCCUCGCCCCGCCCCGUUCGGUGACGUCAUGGGCGUGGCCCGCAGCGCGGGCGACGGGCGCGCGGGCGGGAGAGCGCGGAGGCUCGGAGGCCUGUGCAGCCGUAGCCGCUGCCCCACCUCAGUGUUAGUUUCUAGGCGCCGCGGUUUUCUGCGCUUCAGCAGUGGAUCUUGGUGGGUUCGGGGCAGCUUGGGGCGGACAAGAAUGCUGAAGGUCUGGAAAAUCUUGCUGGAAGAGAUGGUACUUCAGGAAACUCAAAGCAGGAUGAUUGCCAGCCUUGGAAUGGGAUUGUUUCUGUCCCUGGAGUGUAAGAAAAGGCAAGACCUUCCCUGUGACAGCAAAGAGAUUAGGGCUUUUGCCCAUACUGCUCCCUUUGCUGAACACUGCAUCUGGGUCACUCGAAUUCACCCACGAGGUCUCUGUUUAGACGAUGCUUGUUCCAGACAGAGAGAAAUUCCCUCUGUCUCUGGCUCUGUAAGUGAGAUCAGAGCUUCAAAAAUACCACCCUGUAUUAUUUACUUGGACACUUUCUCAGAAGAGGAUUAACUUCAGGAAGAGUUUGGAAGGUUACAAAUGUCUCAGAGAGAUGCAAGAUGAGUCAAUACAUGUUGCUAAAACUGUGGUCCCUUCACUACAACAUUAGGGAUAUUGAAUUUCUUUGCAACUUGGCUGUCAUGAACAUAUAUAUUGAUUUGUUUAAUGGAGUCUUUGUGAGUAUGAUAGUAGGACCUGGGCAGAAUGCUCUUAGUUGGUUGUCAAUCAACCUAUCA